rnacentral:rRNA from 1 species
AUUGAACGCUGGCGGAAUGCUUUACACAUGCAAGUCGAACGGCAGCACGGGAGCUUGCUCCUGGUGGCGAGUGGCGAACGGGUGAGUAAUAUAUCGGAACGUAUCCAAUAAUGGGGGAUAACUAGUCGAAAGAUUAGCUAAUACCGCAUACGCCCUGAGGGGGAAAGCUGGGGAUCUUCGGACCUGGCGUUAAUGGAGCGGCCGAUAUCUGAUUAGCUAGUAGGUGAGGUAAAAGCUCACCUAGGCGACGAUCAGUAGCUGGUCUGAGAGGACGACCAGCCACACUGGAACUGGGACACGGUCCAGACUCCUACGGGAGGCAGCAGUGGGGAAUUUUGGACAAUGGGCGCAAGCCUGAUCCAGCCAUUCCGCGUGAGUGAGGAAGGCCUUCGGGUUGUAAAGCUCUUUCGCAAGGGAAGAAAACUUAUCCUCUAACAUAGGAUGAGGUUGACGGUACCUUGAUAAGAAGCACCGGCUAACUACGUGCCAGCCGCCGCAGUAA